AUUGAACGCUGGCGGUAUGCUUAACACAUGCAAGUCGAACGGUAGCAGGCCUUCGGGCGCUGACGAGUGGCGGACGGGUGAGUAACGCGUAGGAAUCUGCCUUAUAGUGGGGGACAACUUGGGGAAACUCAAGCUAAUACCGCAUACGCCCUACGGGGGAAAGCGGGGGACCUUCGGGCCUCGCGCUAUGAGAUGAGCCUGCGUUAGAUUAGCUAGUUGGUGGGGUAAAGGCCUACCAAGGCGACGAUCUAUAGCUGGUCUGAGAGGACGAUCAGCCACACUGGGACUGAGACACGGCCCAGACUCCUACGGGAGGCAGCAGUGGGGAAUAUUGGACAAUGGGCGCAAGCCUGAUCCAGCAAUACCGCGUGUGUGAAGAAGGCCUUCGGGUUGUAAAGCACUUUCAAUUGGGAGGAAAACCUACCGGCCAAUACCCGGUAGCUUGACAUUACCUUUAGAAGAAGCACCGGCUAACUCCGUGCCAGCAGCCGCGGUAAUACGGAGGGUGCAAGCGUUAAUCGGAAUUACUGGGCGUAAAGCGUGCGUAGGCGGUUCGUUAAGUCAGAUGUGAAAGCCCCGGGCUCAACCUGGGAACUGCAUUUGAAACUGGCGGACUUGAGUUGAGUAGAGGGGAGUGGAAUUUCAGGUGUAGCGGCGAAAUGCGUAGAUAUCUGAAGGAACACCAGUGGCGAAGGCGACUCCCUGGACUCAAACUGACGCUGAGGUACGAAAGCGUGGGUAGCAAACAGGAUUAGAUACCCUGGUAGUCCACGCUGUAAACGAUGUCAACUAGCCGUUGGUCCUCUUAACAGGAUUAGUGGCGCAGCUAACGCAUUAAGUUGACCGCCUGGGGAGUACGGCCGCAAGGUUAA
rnacentral:rRNA from 1 species